AUGAAGACCACAACGACUCUUUGUUUUCAAGUCUAUACACGUCAUCCACAUUUUAAGAAAAAUGAACUGGACACGAUUUUUACCCUUGGUGGAAUUCAAAAUAUGUCUUAUAUAUGGCUGCAUUACACACCUGCCCAGAACUCAGUGGCAAAACAACCACUACCACCAUUUUAUCAUAUCUCAGGAUGAGUGGUAGGAAUUCCUGUUGGCCUGGCUGGGUAACCUGGUGCCAUGAACACAUUGAUUGGGGAAACAUAGGCAGCUAAUGUG
rnacentral:lncRNA from 1 species